CGGUUGAGCGCACAGAAGAAGAAUAAGCCUUCGAUGAUGCUAAUGGAAGCCCAACGUGUGUUUCAUCUUUUCUGUAUCACAGCUCCUCUUUUGUUCAGUCAACUUGUUCUCUCACAGCUGCAGCCAGUUCCCAAUCAACCACCGGUUUCUCAUCCAGGACUCAAACUCCCAUGUAAAUCAUCUUGCUGAAGCACUUGUUGAAUUGCAGACCGUCAUUGGAACAUGAAGGAAGAAGCGAUGAGUCAGCCGGUAACACAAGAACAUUCGCUACUUUACUGUCAAGCGCCUUUAUUCCAAACCUUGACCACAUGACAAAAAGCUGGCAGUUGUACAAUAAUACCUCAGUUCUACCAACCCACUCAGACACACACGUACUAGCAAAUGUUCCUAUUUGUCUUACCAUUUGUUGAGUCCUUAGCCUUGAUUUCAACACAACACUGAGAUAAAUAGAUUCUGGUGUUUUCUUCAUAAGUUACAUAAUUUGGAAGUAGAAAAUACCUGUGUAUUAUUUAUGUCAGUAUAAACACAGGGAUUCUGUGAAAGUCUUUGGACAUUGGUGAAAAAAACAGUAUCAUGACCACAUAAUCUUCAUGACGUGACAUUAUAUUGGACAGUAUUUUGCUGUGGGUAUGGUUUUCUUCAGGAGGGACGGGUAACCUGGUCAGAGUUGAUAUUAGAACAUCGAUGAAGCUAAUACUUGUAGCAGUCUUAGAAUAACAUUUGUUAGAUACUGCAAGAGAGCUCGAGACUGGAGAGAAGUGUCAUCUUCCAGGUGAGGUUUGGGGAAAAAAAGUGGGGUAGCACAUGCAAUGCCUUAAAUCAGACACAGGUUAGUUUUAGACUAUAGAAUGAAACCACACAUAAUUUAAACCCAGAAUCAGGACAUAGGGCAUCAAAGUGAAUCCAUGUCAUAGAUGUAAUUCAGAAUGUGUUGCCAAAACGUAAGGUCACAAAUGCUUGUGGUAGUAUGAUAUGACAUACUGACGUGGUGAGGGAACACAGUUGCAAAUGACUGAACAACUAGGCUACAGCUAGUUCCCCACUCCGGAGCCUGCUAUGAAUGUACAGGCUAGUUAACAUGGGGCUACUGAUGACGGCGGACAAACACUUGGGUUGUUCCUGGUCAUUAGGUUGUUGAGCAGGUUGUACACAAGCAUGAUUGAUUGCGCUAAGAUAGCUGGAUUAAUUUGAAUGAAUAUAUGUUCUCAUUUGCAAAUUGUCUGAACCACCCCUUAAAAAUCUUCUGGACUUGACCUAGCUUCCUGGAGGACAAGAGCACUAAACGCACACUACAAUGAAACUAAAGUCAAUGGUAAAACUUGGAAAUCAAUGUCUUGUCUGACUGAAAUGUUGUUUUGUUUGUCUAAAGGUUUUUCGUAGCACUAGAAGCCUUU